rnacentral:lncRNA from 1 species
CAGUUUUCAGGUUGAAGGUGCCCCAUUUCCCCUCCAGAGGGGUCUGCCUUCCUAAAGGUACACCGUGCCCUCCCGUUCUUCCAGGUUGCCCACUGUACACUCCGAAGAGAACCGUGACGAACUUGCCCUCUUGGGUCUUGAGUUGCCCAGAUGCGUGUUGCUGUCGCUGCAGCGGAAGACCUUCAUCCUACUGCUCACUCCUCGGCUCGACAAAAGCAAUUUUUCACUCCCGGGCUUUGCAGGGGCCAGGUUUCUGGUUUCUCCACCCCACCUCCCCGCAGCCCUCCGCUCCCUGCACCCAGGGCUUCCGGCCUCCACCCCGACAUUCCAGGUGAUGGGGAUUGAGAAGUCUUGGAAAUCCUUGUGUAGUAUAAUCCCCUCUUCUCUACACUAGAAAUACAGGUAUCUGAAAGUUUGCUACACUUGGUUUUGAUUUUAUUGAGUACUAAUAUUGGCCUCACUCAUUGGUAAAAAUAUUGGGAAGUGUAGGUGUAGGAAAACCUAAGUUCUAGUUUUGGACCUGCUACUAGCCAGCCUUGGGGCAGUUCAUACUGAUUCUCACCCAUAGGGCCUUGGUUUCCUCAUCUUUAAGGAACAUUAAAUAAAAAUUGGGGCCAGGCCGGUGGUUUUCAAAUCAGAGCAGCUGUGCUUUUGUCUUUUCCAUAUUGGAGUUAUCUGAGUUUUGUAUAAGAUGUUUAAGAAAUGGAAGAGAGAGAGAGAGAAAAAAAAAAAAGAAACGGAAGAGAGAUUCACUGCUAACAA